GUGCUCACUUCAGCAGCACAUAUACUAAAAUUGGAACAAUACAGAGAAGAUUAGUAUGGCCCUUGCACAAGGAUAACAUACAAAUUCAUGGAACGUUCCCUAUUUUU